CAUUGCAUCCAUUAUAAACAUAGAGAAUUUUUUUUCUUCUUUCAAUUAGUCAUAAUUACUCCAUUACGCUUUCUUAACAUUUUUAUUACUACGUUAAUGAGAUGGAAUGAAUACGAGGUCUUAUUAAAACAUUUAUCCAGUAUUUUUUUGUCUUUGAGAAAGAAUCUAUUUUAAAUAACGACAUUUGUACAGAACAAUUGGAUUAUUCGUAUCAGUUGAUUAAACGAUCACGUUGGGCUACAUUAGUCUUUUCGAUACGAGAUUUCACUAUCAAGCAAGAAAUAUACCUAACUUCAUAUUUUUAUCUUAUGUGUAUUUCUUAUAAAGAACGUCAUCGAGUGAUAAUGUUUCGUAACAACAAAAAAACAAAUUAAAGAGUGUUGCGAUCCAAUGAAUUUUUCAAUAGCCCCUUUUAAACGCUUUCGUGAUAACGUAAGUGAUUAACAAAAGUUAACAGUCUACAACAUAGUACUCGAUGCGCGCAAAGUUCAAUCGGUCAUUUUCACGCAAGCGCACUGUUGAAUCUCGAUCUCGAUCUUGAUAUCGAUAUUCAGUGGUUUGAGUGGUCCUCUCAUAGUUUCGAACAAUGCUACAAUAAAUAAAGUGUCUCUGCAUAAGUCGGUCAUAAGAAUGCGCUUCCAUUUGCUCGAAAUCCGAGAUAAGCGUGCGAUUUCCAUCAACUUCCUCGAAAGGUAUUAAGAAGUAGGACAGCGUGUAUUAGGAACAAGGAAGGACGAGUUCGAAUCAUUACCGCGAACGGUAUCGUGAAGUUACUUGCGCAUGGUGGUAUCCCCCCGAAGUUAUCAACGACAAAAGUACGCACUUACCGUAAAGAGGGUGCAAUAGCAGCAGCUAAUCUUUUCCUUCAAUCUUUCGCUUCAACCUCCACCGUGAAAUAUUCUUUCCUACACAAAUGUUUCACGAACGACAGGUAAGUGGUACGAGUCGCGUUCAUUCAAACGGCCGGUGUCGAUUCGAACGCGAGCUUAUUGCUGCGAAAGCGCGGGCAAAAGUGACGUGGACAUGACCACAUACGAAAAUUCACUAAAAAUACCGUAGAGGGCCUGACAUGCGCGAGAUCCGAACCGCUUACUACAGCCGAUCGAAUACUGCACUCGACACCGCGUGUUCUCUCCCUUUACUACCUCCCUCUAUCAUCGCUUUAUUCCCCUCCCUCCGUCUGAUCGACAACAUCUCGCCCCCUCUCUGCAUUUCUUUUUUUUCUUCUUUCGCAUGACCACUUCUAAUCCCUGCUUUGACACAUUAUUUAACUCGUUAAUUCUUAGAUAGCUCUCCGAUAUAAACAAAAACACAUGCGAGCAUAUAAUUGAUGCUUUUGCACCCGCUUUGCGUACAAGAUUGUCAACAAGUUAUCGUGCGUUCGAUCGGCAACGCUUAAAUGCUGCAACACACGAUGACAUAGCCGCUUUAAGAUCCAAGCAACAAACGUAUCAGUACUAACCAGGUAGCAAAAGAGAACGUUGCAUAUACUUACGUUAACUAUGUAUCCUUAACAUUAGAUGGUUGGACUCACAUCCGUUAAAACAGGUAUGGAACAUAUGGAUUUUUGGAACCCAGGAGCGGGGAGGAGAAGGAAUUAGUAUUUAUUUACAUUUCAUAAUUCUGUUAAAAUCCAACAUAUGUUUUAAAAAAAAUUAUUUAAGUUUUUCUGUAUGUAUAGCAAUAAAAUCGUAAAUGUGUCAAAUUGACUCGCUCCGGCAAUCUAGUAUUAAUAAAGGUAAGGGGAUCAUUACAAUGAGUAAUUCGUAGCAAAGAUUUAUUUGAUUCGUUAUGUUUUUUUACUGGCAUAUUUCUUAACGUGUGAUUUAUGCAAUAUAUGCGAUGAUAACUGAAAACAUGUUGCACAUUCAUUUUUUUUGCACACGUUUGAAGAAAACUUGCUGCGUAACAUAAUUACAAGUUAUAUUGCCAAUUUGCAAAUAAAGCGGUUUGAAAGAUUGGAAUGUGAUUAAA